UCAGAGCUGGAUGAACUACAUUACAUCGAGCAUAGAAGCAACAAAUCGCUUCAAAUAUGACAAUUGAUAUUCUGAAAUUCAACUCUGCUGAUCCAAUAAAGAUGGUUGGUUGGAUUCCUAUCUUCUGUUCAUUUGCUGGUAUUUCUGUCCAGGAAUCUCUUCAGGCUGUUACAAACUGGGAUUUGGAGGAAUUUUCAAACACAUGAAUAAAAGAGUUUGUACACCAAAGUUACCUAUACAAUCAUUUGGAAUACUUUUCUUGCCAUAUUAAAAUAUCUUCAGUCUAUUAAAUCUACUACCCAGAAUUCCAUAGCAGAAGGAUACUUGUUCAAAGUGCUAGUGAGGCUGAACCCCAAAUACCUGGUUGCAUAACAAACCACAUAGCCGAGUGGUUGGCGUUAGGAAGGGCAUCCAGCUGUAGAAACUCUGCCAAAUU
rnacentral:lncRNA from 1 species